rnacentral:lncRNA from 1 species
AGCGGCGGGGCGAAGGGCUCCUCAAGCGCGGCCAGAGUGGACGCCGAGGCCGAGGAGGCACGGAGAGCGAGCAAGGGCUGCCUGCACGCUGUCACCUCUCAUUAAGGUUUUGGUAUGAAGAUGAUGCUGGUCUCAUAGAUGAUGAUGCUGGUCUCAUAGAAUGAGAUGGAGAGGAGUCCCUAUUCUUCAAUUUUUUGGAAUAGUUUCAGUAGGAUUUGUACCAGCUAUUCUUUCAAUAUCUACUAGAAUUCGGCUGUGAAUCCAUCUAGUCCUUGGCAUUUUUGUUUGACUCCCCGUGGAACAGAGUUGUUGUUCAGCAGAAAUAAUCAAGAGUUGACAUCAUACCAGACCUCGGGACUCAACAAUAAACCAGACCAGUAUGGCUCUAUCUUCAUGAAGAACAUACACAAU